rnacentral:rRNA from 1 species
GUCGAACGAACUUCCGUUAAUUGAUUAUGACGUACUUGUACUGAUUGAGAUUUUAACACGAAGUGAGUGGCGAACGGGUGAGUAACACGUGGGUAACCUGCCCAGAAGUAGGGGAUAACACCUGGAAACAGAUGCUAAUACCGUAUAACAGAGAAAACCGCAUGGUUUUCUUUUAAAAGAUGGCUCUGCUAUCACUUCUGGAUGGACCCGCGGCGUAUUAGCUAGUUGGUGAGGUAAAGGCUCACCAAGGCAGUGAUACGUAGCCGACCUGAGAGGGUAAUCGGCCACAUUGGGACUGAGACACGGCCCAGACUCCUACGGGAGGCAGCAGUAGGGAAUCUUCCACAAUGGACGCAAGUCUGAUGGAGCAACGCCGCGUGAGUGAAGAAGGGUUUCGGCUCGUAAAGCUCUGUUGUUAAAGAAGAACGUGGGUAAGAGUAACUGUUUACCCAGUGACGGUAUUUAACCAGAAAGCCACGGCUAACUACGUGCCAGCAGCCGCGGUAAUACGUAGGUGGCAAGCGUUAUCCGGAUUUAUUGGGCGUAAAGCGAGCGCAGGCGGUCUUUUAAGUCUAAUGUGAAAGCCUUCGGCUCAACCGAAGAAGUGCAUUGGAAACUGGGAGACUUGAGUGCAGAAGAGGACAGUGGAACUCCAUGUGUAGCGGUGAAAUGCGUAGAUAUAUGGAAGAACACCAGUGGCGAAGGCGGCUGUCUGGUCUGCAACUGACGCUGAGGCUCGAAAGCAUGGGUAGCGAACAGGAUUAGAUACCCUGGUAGUCCAUGCCGUAAACGAUGAUUACUAAGUGUUGGAGGGUUUCCGCCCUUCAGUGCUGCAGCUAACGCAUUAAGUAAUCCGCCUGGGGAGUACGACCGCAAGGUUGAAACUCAAAAGAAUUGACGGGGGCCCGCACAAGCGGUGGAGCAUGUGGUUUAAUUCGAAGCUACGCGAAGAACCUUACCAGGUCUUGACAUCUUCUGACAGUCUAAGAGAUUAGAGGUUCCCUUCGGGGACAGAAUGACAGGUGGUGCAUGGUUGUCGUCAGCUCGUGUCGUGAGAUGUUGGGUUAAGUCCCGCAACGAGCGCAACCCUUAUUACUAGUUGCCAGCAUUAAGUUGGGCACUCUAGUGAGACUGCCGGUGACAAACCGGAGGAAGGUGGGGACGACGUCAAAUCAUCAUGCCCCUUAUGACCUGGGCUACACACGUGCUACAAUGGAUGGUACAACGAGUCGCGAGACCGCGAGGUUAAGCUAAUCUCUUAAAACCAUUCUCAGUUCGGACUGUAGGCUGCAACUCGCCUACACGAAGUCGGAAUCGCUAGUAAUCGCGGAUCAGCAUGCCGCGGUGAAUACGUUCCCGGGCCUUGUACACACCGCCCGUCACACCAUGAGAGUUUGUAACACCCAAAGCCGGUGGGGUAACCUUUAGGAG